rnacentral:rRNA from 1 species
GCAAGAUUAAAACUCAAAGGAAUAGACGGGGACCCGCACAAGUGGUGGAGCAUGUGGUUUAAUUCGAAGAUACGCGAAGAACCUUACCUAGCCUUGACAUAUUUUAGAACUCCGUAGAGAUACAGAGGUGCCUUCGGGAGCUAAUUUACAGGUGCUGCACGGCUGUCGUCAGCUCGUGUCGUGAGAUGUUGGGUUAAGUCCCGCAACGAGCGCAACCCUCGUCACUAGUUACUAACGGUUCGGCCGAGGGCUCUAGUGAGACUGCCUUCGUAAGGAGGAGGAAGGUGAGGACGACGUCAAGUCAUCAUGGCCCUUACGGCUAGGGCAACACACGUGCUACAAUGGUUGGGACAGUGAGACGCGAUACCGCGAGGUGGAGCAAAUCUAUAAACCCAAUCUCAGUUCGGAUUGUAGUCUGCAACUCGACUACAUGAAGCUGGAAUCACUAGUAAUCGUAGAUCAGCUAUGCUACGGUGAAUACGUUCCCGGGUCUUGUACUCACCGCCCGUCACACCAUGGGAGUUGAUUUCACCCGAAGCGGGGAAGCUAAACUGGCUACCCUCCACGGUGGAAUUAGCGACUGGGGUGAAGUCGUAACAAGGUA